GACGAACGCUGGCGGCGUGCCUAAUACAUGCAAGUCGAACGAACUCUGGUAUUGAUUGGUGCUUGCAUCAUGAUUUACAUUUGAGUGAGUGGCGAACUGGUGAGUAACACGUGGGAAACCUGCCCAGAAGCGGGGGAUAACACCUGGAAACAGAUGCUAAUACCGCAUAACAACUUGGACCGCAUGGUCCGAGCUUGAAAGAUGGCUUCGGCUAUCACUUUUGGAUGGUCCCGCGGCGUAUUAGCUAGAUGGUGGGGUAACGGCUCACCAUGGCAAUGAUACGUAGCCGACCUGAGAGGGUAAUCGGCCACAUUGGGACUGAGACACGGCCCAAACUCCUACGGGAGGCAGCAGUAGGGAAUCUUCCACAAUGGACGAAAGUCUGAUGGAGCAACGCCGCGUGAGUGAAGAAGGGUUUCGGCUCGUAAAACUCUGUUGUUAAAGAAGAACAUAUCUGAGAGUAACUGUUCAGGUAUUGACGGUAUUUAACCAGAAAGCCACGGCUAACUACGUGCCAGCAGCCGCGGUAAUACGUAGGUGGCAAGCGUUGUCCGGAUUUAUUGGGCGUAAAGCGAGCGCAGGCGGUUUUUUAAGUCUGAUGUGAAAGCCUUCGGCUCAACCGAAGAAGUGCAUCGGAAACUGGGAAACUUGAGUGCAGAAGAGGACAGUGGAACUCCAUGUGUAGCGGUGAAAUGCGUAGAUAUAUGGAAGAACACCAGUGGCGAAGGCGGCUGUCUGGUCUGUAACUGACGCUGAGGCUCGAAAGUAUGGGUAGCAAACAGGAUUAGAUACCCUGGUAGUCCAUACCGUAAACGAUGAAUGCUAAGUGUUGGAGGGUUUCCGCCCUUCAGUGCUGCAGCUAACGCAUUAAGCAUUCCGCCUGGGGAGUACGGCCGCAAGGCUGAAACUCAAAGGAAUUGACGGGGGCCCGCACAAGCGGUGGAGCAUGUGGUUUAAUUCGAAGCUACGCGAAGAACCUUACCAGGUCUUGACAUACUAUGCAAAUCUAAGAGAUUAGACGUUCCCUUCGGGGACAUGGAUACAGGUGGUGCAUGGUUGUCGUCAGCUCGUGUCGUGAGAUGUUGGGUUAAGUCCCGCAACGAGCGCAACCCUUAUUAUCAGUUGCCAGCAUUAAGUUGGGCACUCUGGUGAGACUGCCGGUGACAAACCGGAGGAAGGUGGGGAUGACGUCAAAUCAUCAUGCCCCUUAUGACCUGGGCUACACACGUGCUACAAUGGAUGGUACAACGAGUUGCGAACUCGCGAGAGUAAGCUAAUCUCUUAAAGCCAUUCUCAGUUCGGAUUGUAGGCUGCAACUCGCCUACAUGAAGUCGGAAUCGCUAGUAAUCGCGGAUCAGCAUGCCGCGGUGAAUACGUUCCCGGGCCUUGUACACACCGCCCGUCACACCAUGAGAGUUUGUAACACCCAAAGUCGGUGGGGUAACCUUUUAGGAACCAGCCGCCUAAGGUGGGACAGAUGAUUA
rnacentral:rRNA from 2 species